UCGCACCUACCGAUUGAAUGGUCCGGUGAGGCCUCGGGAUUGUGACCAGUUUCCUUCAUUGGGAGUUGGUUGCGAGAACUUGUCUAAACCUUAUCAUUUAGAGGAAGGUG
rnacentral:rRNA from 1 species